rnacentral:rRNA from 1 species
AUUGAACGCUGGCGGCAGGCUUAACACAUGCAAGUCGAGCGGAGAUGAGGUGCUUGCACCUUAUCUUAGCGGCGGACGGGUGAGUAAUGCUUAGGAAUCUGCCUAUUAGUGGGGGACAACAUUCCGAAAGGAAUGCUAAUACCGCAUACGCCCUACGGGGGAAAGCAGGGGAUCGUCGGACCUUGCGCUAAUAGAUGAGCCUAAGUCGGAUUAACUAGUUGGUGGGGUAAAGGCCUACCAAGGGGACGAUCUGUAGCGGGUCUGAGAGGAUGAUCCGCCACACUGGGACUGAGACACGGCCCAGACUCCUACGGGAGGCAGCAGUGGGGAAUAUUGGACAAUGGGCGGAAGCCUGAUCCAGCCAUGCCGCGUGUGUGAAGAAGGCCUUUUGGUUGUAAAGCACUUUAAGCGAGGAGGAGGCUACCUGGAUUAAUACUCUAGGAUAGUGGACGUUACUCGCAGAAUAAGCACCGGCUAACUCUGUGCCAGCCGCCGCCGUAAUAC